CCUCAAUUUGUGUUCUGCUGCUUCAUUUCUUUCCUUCCUUUCUUUCCCACCCAUACUCUCUUUACUAACUUCAUAUUCUUCUUCCCUCGCCGAUUUUUUCUUUUGCCAGAUUCGAUUUAGUUUCCUUUGGUUCUUGCGGAAGAAAAUUUUCGGAGCAAGAAGCUGGUUUGGUGUUUCUUUUGUUUCACUUUUAUGAAUACCUGAAUUUUGAAGGGUUUUAGGGUUUUGCAACAUGUUAGGUUCAUUACCUAUAUUGCCUCUCCCUGCACCUCCUGCUGAUGGAAAUCUAGGUCCUCUUCCUGAGUCUCAAGUGUCUGAGGAGAGGACUUCCAAUGAGGAGCAGAACAAAUCAAAUUCAGCUUCUGUUCCAGUGCCAGCAACAGUUGCAACCCACACAAGAACCAUUGGAAUUAUACAUCCUCCUCCAGAUAUUAGGACCAUUGUUGAUAAAACGUCCCAGUUUGUGGCUAAAAAUGGUCCAGAAUUUGAAAAGAGGAUUAUUGCAAAUAACACGGGUAAUGUCAAGUUCAAUUUCCUUAACUCAUCAGAUCCCUAUCAUGCAUAUUAUCAACAUCGGUUGGCUGAAUUUCGGGCUCAGAAUCAAUCAUCAGGGCAGCAAACUCCUUCCCAGCCUGCUGACUCGGCUGUUCCUGAGUCAGCUCCAACUGCCCCUGUUCCUGAUAGUAAUGGCAUAGCAGCAAUAGAAAAACUCGAUGUUUCUGCCCAGUUUAAACCUGUUAGGAAAGUACUUGAACCCCCAGAAGCAGAACAGUAUACUGUUCGACUUCCUGAAGGAAUUACAGGUGAAGAGCUAGAUAUUAUAAAGCUUACAGCACAAUUUGUGGCUCGAAAUGGGAAAUCUUUUUUGACAGGGUUGACUAGUAGGGAAGUCAAUAAUCCCCAGUUUCACUUUUUGAAACCGACCCACAGCAUGUUUACGUUUUUUACUUCCCUUGCGGAUGCAUAUUCGAAGGUUUUGAUGCCUCCAAAGGGAUUGACAGAGAAGUUGAAGAAGAGUGUGUCUGAUAUGACUACUGUCCUUGAAAGGUGUGUGAAUAGGCUGGAAUGGGAGCGUUCACAAGAGCAAGCUAGACAAAAGGCCGAGGAUGAGAUAGAACAGGAAAGAAUACAAAUGGCUAUGAUUGAUUGGCAUGAUUUUGUGGUGGUUGAAACAAUAGAUUUUGUUGAUGAGGAGGAUGAAGAAUUACCUCCUCCAAUGACCAUUGAGGUGGUUAUUAGGAGAAGCAAGGUGUCAGCCACGGAAGAUGAUACAGUUGAGCCUGAAAAGGAGGUUGAAAUGGAAAUGGACGAAGAAGAGGCUCAGCUUGUUGAAGAGGGCAUGAGAGCUGCUAGUUUGGAAGACCCAGAUGACGGGAAGCAAAAUGAAGUCAGAAUUACUGAAGACCCUGAACCACCAAUGAGAAUUGUUAAAAACUGGAAGAGACCCGAGGAGAGGAUUCCCGCAGAAAGAGAUUCAGCCAAGUUCGUUGUUUCUCCUAUCACUGGUGAGCUAAUUCCUAUUAGCGAAAUGUCAGAACAUAUGCGAAUUUCUCUCAUCGAUCCCAAGUACAAAGAACAAAAGGAAAGGAUGUUUGCCAAAAUUCGAGAGACAACUUUGGCUGCGGAUGAUGAAAUUUCAAGAAACAUAGUUGGACUUGCCCGGACCCGUCCUGAUAUAUUUGGUACCACCGAAGAGGAGGUCUCCAAUGCUGUCAAGGCAGAGAUUGAGAAGAUAAAUGACGAGCAACCUAAACAGGUUAUAUGGGAUGGUCACACAGGUAGUAUUGGGCGUACUGCAAACCAAGCCAUGUCACAGAAUAUUGGAAACGAGGACCAAAAUGAUCCAUCUAAUAAUGAAGCCAAGAACCUUCUUGGUCCUGCCGCACCUCCUCCAAGACCUGGUAUGCCUUCGGUUCGUCCACUUCCGCCACCACCUGGAUUGGCUUUAAAUCUACCUCGUGGUCCUGUGCAGUAUUCUGUUCCUCACAGUGGUGCACUUCCGAUUCCUCCACCCAGGCCUCCUGUCAUUCCGAUGAUGCCAUCUGUUCGGCCAGCUCCUCCUCCUCCAAUGCAGAUGACUUCUGGUCAGCAGUCAAUUAUGGCCGGUCAACCUCCCCCAAUGCCUCCAUCAAUGCAUCUGAAUAACCAAGGAUUUCAAAUACCUCCACCACCAGGAUCCCAAUUCACUCCUGUUCCAGUUCCCCGACCUUAUGUUCCUCUUCCUGUUCCACCAUCAGUUAUGCCUAUGAUGCAUCCACCACCUUUGCCACAAGGAGUGCCACCACCGCCACCACCAGAGGAGGCUCCUCCCCCACUCCCAGAAGAGCCGGAACCAAAGAGGCAGAAGCUUGACGAUUCUGCUCUGAUCCCUGAAGAUCAGUUUCUGGCUCAACAUCCUGGACCUGUUCGUAUCUUGGUAUCUGUUCCUAAUGUUGAUGAAGGAAAUCUCAAGGGACAAGUUCUGGAAAUUACAGUGCAAUCUUUGUCUGAAACCGUUGGUAGUUUGAAGGAAAAAAUUGCCGGGGAGAUUCAGCUCCCUGCUAAUAAGCAGAAAUUGAGCGGCAAACCAGGCUUUCUCAAGGAUAACAUGUCACUUGCCCAUUACAAUCUUGGUGGUGGUGAAACACUUACUCUCACCUUAAGAGAGCGUGGUGGUAGAAAGAGAUGAGAUUGUCGCCUGCAUGUCGGAUGAAGAAGUGUUUAGGUUUUUGUCAUAUAUUGGAUAUUUUCUCGUACAAGGACCCUGUUGGACAGUUGAUUAGAAAGGCAUUGGUUGCUGAGAGCUUAUGUACCUUUAGCUGGGUAUCUUGUUUGGGUUCUAGUCAUGAGAAAUUCUACUUGGAGUUGUGGGAAGGGCUGUGCAGCUUAGCCUGAUGUGUUUUUGAAUGAGAUGAUGCGCAGAAUGGACCAGGUUUGGUAUUUUAAAGAAGGCACCGAUUCUCGUGUUCAUCUUUUUUGGGAUAUGUUAGGAAACUCUAUGUUUAAGUUGCUAUUGAAUGAUUAAGAUUAUCCGGUCAUCCUUAUUCUGCCAUUGUUUAUUUGUUGGAGCUUUUGUUUAAUUGUGCCUUUGUUUCUUCCCUCUUUUUACCUCCAUCCUCCCCCAUUGGCCUGAAUUUUACGUUUUUCUUGUGUGUGAGAUUGUUAGUAUCCCCUCAUCGGAGCCCUAUGUUUGACUCUCGACAGACUCACAAGUUGGAGAUUGGUAAGCUUGCUUGCAAGAAGCUCCCGGGAAACGGCAUUGAUGUAUAAAGAUAUUGAAUUUGACUUCUGUUUCUAUUUAAACUGUGGAAAUUGUAGUCUCUUACAAUAACCUUAUGAUGCCCCCUUUCUGUAGCUUUACCAGAUCCCAACUAUUCUAAGAAAUACGUCAUUGUUGAUACUUAGGCGCCGAAUAAAGUUCCAUUUGCCGUAAAUGAGAUGAUCAUUGUUGAUAUAAUUGGUAAGGAUUAAUUUUAGAUA